rnacentral:rRNA from 1 species
GAUCCUGGCUCAGGACGAACGCUGGCGGCGCGCCUAACACAUGCAAGUCGAACGAGAGAUGAGGAGCUUGCUCUUCAAAUCGAGUGGCGAACGGGUGAGUAACGCGUGAGGAACCUGCCUCAAAGAGUGGGACAACAGUUGGAAACGACUGCUAAUACCGCAUAAGUCCACGGCUCGGCAUCGAGCAGGGGGAAAAGGAGCAAUCCGCUUUGAGAUGGCCUCGCGUCCGAUUAG